ACGCGUGGAAUCUAGUUCAGGGUUCGGGACAACAGUUGGAAACGACUGCUAAUACCGGAUGUGCCYACGGGUGAAAGGCUUGCUGCCUGAAGAAGAGCUUGCGUCCGAUUAGCUAGUUGGUGAGGUAAAGGCUUACCAAGGCAUCGAUCGGUAGCUGGUCUGAGAGGAUGACCAGCCACACUGGGACUGAGACAAGGCCCAGACUCCUACGGGAGGCRGCAGUGGGGAAUUUUCCGCAAUGGGGGAAAGCCUGACGGAGSAAUACCGCGUGAGGGAAGAAGGCUCUUGGGUUGUAAACCUCUUUUCUCASGGAAUAAAAAAAUGAAGGUACCUGAGGAAUAAGCAUCGGCUAACUCCGUGCCAGCAGCCGCGGUAAUACGGAGGAUGCAAGCGUUAUCCGGAAUGAUUGGGCGUAAAGCGUCCGCAGGUGGUACAACAAGUCUAGUGUCAAAGACCGGGGCUUAACUCCGGGAUGGCGGUGGAAACUGUUGAACUAGAGGGUCGUAGGGGUAGAGGGAAUUCCCAGUGUAGCGGUGAAAUGCGUAGAGAUUGGGAAGAACAUCGGUGGCGAAGGCGCUCUACUGGACGGCAACUGACACUCAGGGACGAAAGCUAGGGAGCAAUGGGAUUAGAUACCCC
rnacentral:rRNA from 1 species